rnacentral:lncRNA from 1 species
AGAUGUAAAUAUUUUACUUGUUUUGAUGUGAAUUUUAAAUCUUACUUACUGGGCUAUAUAGCUCAUUACAUGUUAUAUAUUACAGAGCAGAUAAAACAAGAGUAAGAAUCGGAUGUACAAGAAGCGUGUGUUCAAACUUUGGAAUAAGUAAGGCGUACCAUAGAGCAAUUAUCGUUGACUUAGAGCAUGGUAUGAGAUUGUUUUGAUAUCAUUACACAUAUACAUGUCUCAUUUAGAUGGAAUUACUUAUACUUCCAUUAUUAACACUUGAUAAUCUAGUUUGGCAUUGUAAAUGAGGUAAAUGAGAAUUAGUAUACACGAGUAUAUAUAUGUAUACAUGAGUUUCAAAUGGAAUGAAAAUUUAUGCAGGUUGAUGUCUUGAGAUUUG